UCGCGAUCGUUUCUGGACCGCUUUCCACUCCCAAAUCUCCUUUAUCCCAGAGCAUUUCUUGGCUUCUCUUACAAGCCGUCUUUUCUUUACUCAGUCGCCAAUAUGCAGCUCUUUGUCCGCGCCCAGGAGCUACACACCUUCGAGGUGACCGGCCAGGAAACGGUCGCCCAGAUCAAGGCUCAUGUAGCCUCACUGGAGGGCAUUGCCCCGGAAGAUCAAGUCGUGCUCCUGGCAGGCGCGCCCCUGGAGGAUGAGGCCACUCUGGGCCAGUGCGGGGUGGAGGCCCUGACUACCCUGGAAGUAGCAGGCCGCAUGCUUGGAGGUGAGUGAGAGAGGAAUGUUCUUUGAAGUACCGGUAAGCGUCUAGUGAGUGUGGGGUGCAUAGUCCUGACAGCUGAGUGUCACACCUAUGGUAAUAGAGUACUUCUCACUGUCUUCAGUUCAGAGUGAUUCUUCCUGUUUACAUCCCUCAUGUUGAACACAGACGUCCAUGGGAGACUGAGCCAGAGUGUAGUUGUAUUUCAGUCACAUCACGAGAUCCUAGUCUGGUUAUCAGCUUCCACACUAAAAUUAGGUCAGACCAGGGCCCCCAAAGUGCUCUAUAAAAUUAGAAGCUGGAAGAUCCUGAAAUGAAACUUAAGAUUUCAAGGUCAAAUAUCUGCAACUUUGUUCUCAUUACCUAUUGGGCGCAGCUUCUCUUUAAAGGCUUGAAUUGAGAAAAGAGGGGUUCUGCUGGGUGGCACCUUCUUGCUCUUACCUGCUGGUGCCUUCCUUUCCCACUACAGGUAAAGUCCAUGGUUCCCUGGCCCGUGCUGGAAAAGUGAGAGGUCAGACUCCUAAGGUGAGUGAGAGUAUUAGUGGUCAUGGUGUUAGGACUUUUUUUCCUUUCACAGCUAAACCAAGUCCCUGGGCUCUUACUCGGUUUGCCUUCUCCCUCCCUGGAGAUGAGCCUGAGGGAAGGGAUGCUAGGUGUGGAAGACAGGAACCAGGGCCUGAUUAACCUUCCCUUCUCCAGGUGGCCAAACAGGAGAAGAAGAAGAAGAAGACAGGUCGGGCUAAGCGGCGGAUGCAGUACAACCGGCGCUUUGUCAACGUUGUGCCCACCUUUGGCAAGAAGAAGGGCCC
rnacentral:lncRNA from 10 species